rnacentral:rRNA from 1 species
GACGAACGCUGGCGGCGUGCUUAACACAUGCAAGUCGAACGGAAAGGCCCUGCUUUUGUGGGGUGCUCGAGUGGCGAACGGGUGAGUAACACGUGAGUAACCUGCCCUUGACUUUGUGAUAACUUCAGGAAACUGGGGCUAAUACCGGAUAGGAGCUCCUGCUGCAUGGUGGGGGUUGGAAAGUUUCGGCGGUAGUGGCUGGACUCGCGGCUUAUCAGCUUGUUGGUGGGGUAGUGGCUUACCAAGGCUUUGACGGGUAGCCGGCCUGAGAGGGUGACCGGGCACAUUGGGACUGAGGUAGGGAGCAGACUCCAACGGGAGGCAGCGGGGGGGAGUAUUGCACAGUGGGCGGAAGCCUGAUGCAACAACGCCGGGUGCGGGAAGACGGCCUUCGGGUUGUAAACCGCUUUCGCCUGUGACGAAGCGUGAGUGACGGUAAUGGGUAAAGAAGCACCGGCUAACUACGUG